AACGAACGCUGGCGGCAGGCUUAACACAUGCAAGUCGAACGGGCGUAGCAAUACGUCAGUGGCGGACGGGUGAGUAACACGUGGGAAUGUGCCUUUCGGUUCGGAACAACUCGGGGAAACUCGUGCUAAUUCCGGAUACGCCCUUACGGGGAAAGAUUUAUCGCCGAAAGAUCAGCCCGCGUCCGAUUAGCUAGUUGGUGAGGUAAAGGCUCACCAAGGCACCGAUCGGUAGCUGGUUUGAGAGAACGACCAGCCACACUGGGACUGAGACACGGCCCAGACUCCUACGGGGAGGCAGCAGUGGGGAAUCUUGGACAAUGGGCGCAAGCCUGAUCCAGCCAUGCCGCGUGAGUGAUGAAGG
rnacentral:rRNA from 1 species